AGACCCCGUGAACCUUUACUAUAGCUUGACACUGAACAUUGAGCCUUGAUGUGUAGGAUAGGUGGGAGGCUUUGAAGCGUGGACGCCAGUCUGCGUGGAGCCAACCUUGAAAUACCACCCUUUAAUGUUUGAUGUUCUAACGUUGGCCCCUUACCGGGGUUGCGGACAGUGUCUGGUGGGUAGUUUGACUGGGGCGGUCUCCUCCCAAAGCGUAACGGAGGAGCACGAAGGUUAGCUAAUCCUGGUCGGACAUCAGGAGGUUAGUGCAAUGGCAUAAGCUAGCUUGACUGCGAGCGUGACGGCGCGAGCAGG
rnacentral:rRNA from 1 species